rnacentral:rRNA from 1 species
AACGAACGCUGGCGGCAUGCCUAACACAUGCAAGUCGAACGAGACCUUCGGGUCUAGUUGCGCACGGGUGCGUAACGCGUGGGAAUCUACCCUCAGGUUCGGAAUAACUCAGAGAAAUUUGGGCUAAUACCGGAUGAUGACGUAAGUCCAAAGAUUUAUCGCCUGAGGAUGAGCCCGCGUAGGAUUAGGUAGUUGGUGAGGUAAAGGCUCGCCAAGCCGACGAUCCUUAGCUGGUCUGAGAGGAUGAUCAGCCACACUGGGACUGAGACACGGCCCAGACUCCUACGGGAGGCAGCAGUGGGGAAUAUUGGACAAGGGGCGCAAGCCUGAUCCAGCAAUGCCGCGUGAGUGAUGAAGGCCUUAGGGUUGUAAAGCUCUUUUACACGGGAUGAUAAUGACAGUACCGGGAGAAUAAGCACCGGCUAACUCCGUG